rnacentral:rRNA from 1 species
GAUGAACGCUGGCGGCGUGCCUAAUACAUGCAAGUCGAGCGAACAGACGAGGAGCUUGCUCCUCUGACGUUAGCGGCGGACGGGUGAGUAACACGUGGAUAACCUACCUAUAAGACUGGGAUAACUUCGGGAAACCGGAGCUAAUACCGGAUAAUAUAUUGAACCGCAUGGUUCAAUAGUGAAAGACGGUUUUGCUGUCACUUAUAGAUGGAUCCGCGCCGCAUUAGCUAGUUGGUAAGGUAACGGCUUACCAAGGCAACGAUGCGUAGCCGACCCGAGAGGGUGAUCGGCCACACUGGAACUGAGACACGGUCCAGACUCCUACGGGAGGCAGCAGUAGGGAAUCUUCCGCAAUGGGCGAAAGCCUGACGGAGCAACGCCGCGUGAGUGAUGAAGGUCUUCGGAUCGUAAAACUCUGUUAUUAGGGAAGAACAAAUGUGUAAGUAACUAUGCACGUCUUGACGGUACCUAAUCAGGAAGCCACGGCUAACUACGUG